rnacentral:rRNA from 1 species
AGUGAACGCUGGCGGUAGGCCUAACACAUGCAAGUCGAACGGCAGCACAGAGGCGCUUGCUCCUUGGGUGGCGAGUGGCGGACGGGUGAGGAAUACAUCGGAAUCUACUCUGUCGUGGGGGAUAACGUAGGGAAACUUACGCUAAUACCGCAUACGACCUACGGGUGAAAGCAGGGGAUCUUCGGACCUUGCGCGAUUGAAUGAGCCGAUGUCGGAUUAGCUAGUUGGCGGGGUAAAGGCCCACCAAGGCGACGAUCCGUAGCUGGUCUGAGAGGAUGAUCAGCCACACUGGAACUGAGACACGGUCCAGACUCCUACGGGAGGCAGCAGUGGGGAAUAUUGGACAAAGGGCGCAAGCCUGAUCCAGCCAUACCGCGUGGGUGAAGAAGGCCUUCGGGUUGUAAAGCCCUUUUGUUGGGAAAGAAAUCCAGCCGGCUAAUACCUGGUUGGGAUGACGGUACCCAAAGAAUAAGCACCGGCUAACUUCGUG